rfam:Triticum aestivum genome assembly, contig: Triticum_aestivum_CS42_TGACv1_scaffold_221223_3B
AUUCUACUCCCUCCGUCCCGAAUUACUUGUCUUAGAUUUGUCUAGACAUGUUUUAGUGUUAGAUACAUCCGUAUCUAGACAAAUUUAAGACAAGUAAUUUGGGACGGAGGUAAUAUAUU